UUCAGUACAUCUGUUUGUUCAGUAUAAAUACCUGAUGUGGAAUAUUUGGCUACCAGUCGGCGGAAAAUUCCUUAAUAGACAUGGUUGUUCGGAAUGCAUCACUGCCCACUAAAGGGAAAGUUAAGUUCAUGAUAAUAUUGACUUUCUGGAACUAAGUUACGUACAGUUCUAAGUACAUACGGACCGAUUAGAGCUGAAUAACUUCUGUCAAACUUACAACAUAAAUAAGUUUGAAGGGCGGUGACUACUUCAUAUACAUAUCACGAAUAUCAUAGUCACGAAUAAGCCUCAGAAGAUUAUCAGAAGCACAUCAGUGGAUGUUAUCAACAAUGGCAAAUAUGGCCUGUAAAUAUCUGCUGACGCGUCGGUCCGUCAAUCGUCACAGGACGGCAUCACGGCACGAACCCUCAGGUGGGCUGGCUUCGGUCUGCUAUGUGGUCUAGUAGACCAUAAUCUUCUAGCAGUCAGAGAAAAAACGAUUCGUUUUGUUUACGGAUGGUAGAUGUUGGAAAUAAGCCUCAUAGAAUUAAAAUUGCCCACUAGCGGAUUUUCCACUCAGUUUUGCCAUGUGGAUCAUACGUGCGUCGAUAAAUAGGUACUUGAUUAUGGGGUGAUAUAUUCAUAUUAAACAAAAACCCCUUAAUUGUAAAAAAAAUACUUGAUCAACAACUAUUUAAUGAACGUAUCGUAGGUAUGUAGAAAAACCGCAUACAGUUGUCGAAAAUAGUUCAUGUGACAGCGCUACUUUUUUACAACGCAAACCGAAUCGUUUCUUGUGUAUAGGUAUCUACCUAUUCGGAUUCUGAUCUUCGAGUAUACCAGUAGACUAUGUCAGCCGUUAGUGCCGUGCACCACAUAAUACACGUUUAAACUUUCUUGACUCCUUGAAAGACUUUUUAAUCUUUGUGCUGGGUUUGUUUACCUAUGUAUUUCAAAAACAUAUGUAGAUACACAAUAUUUAGAUAAUCCGUACUGAUUUCGAAAGCUUGUUUGCAUAUUAAGAUGAGCAGUUAGGAAUGAGCAAUUUUUUUAUAAGUUUGGUUUUGUAAGUUUGGCUCGACAUUUAUUACAAUGAGAAUCGAACCCGCAACCUGCCACAUGGCAGAUAAAUGUACUAAAUAGUUCGCCUUUUAGUGGUCUUGGUAUAUCAUUAUUUUUUAGUCUAUUUCAGUCUAAACAUAAAUGUGAAAUUAUUGCUCUGUAAUAAGUAUACUUAGUUAAUUCAUUAAUUUUAAGUCGGAUGACAGGCAGUUUUAAUUCAGUAAUGACGUUACUGCAAAAUACACAAAGUUGUUGUUACAGUUGCAGCAAUAAAACAUUUUAAUGCAAAUAGUAGCAAAAUUUUCCAUGUUUUUUACACUUUAAUUCGAAUUUGGUAACGUCAGGUUAAUUGACAGUAUAAAUGUAUUAAAGACUCUGUUUUAUUUUCAUGAGCUAUGAAGUUUUUUCUCAAUGCCAUUCUAAGACAUUAUUGAAAACUUUGAGAAUGCUUAUCAUCCAAUUUGUGGAUUCCGCUGUGUAUAAAAUAAAUAUGAAUUUAAUUACCUACAUAGUGAAUGUAUAAAAUAAUAUAGUGAAAAUGAAACUUCUAUGUCCUGUUAAUAAAAAUAAACUCUUACACCUUAUCAUCUUCUAUUCAUUUUUGUUUUCGAAAAAAUAUUUACCAGAUUUGACUGUAAUUUAG